AUUGAACGCUGGCGGCAGGCCUAACACAUGCAAGUCGAGCGGAUGAAGGGAGCUUGCUCCUGGAUUCAGCGGCGGACGGGUGAGUAAUGCCUAGGAAUCUGCCUGGUCGUGGGGGAUAACGUCCGGAAACGGGCGCUAAUACCGCAUACGCCCUGAGGGAGAAAGUGGGGGAUCUUCGGACCUCACGCUAUUAGAUGAGCCUAGGUCGGAUUAGCUAGUUGGUGGGGUAAAGGCCUACCAAGGCGACGAUCCGUAACUGGUCUGAGAGGAUGAUCAGUCACACUGGAACUGAGACACGGUCCAGACUCCUACGGGAGGCAGCAGUGGGGAAUAUUGGACAAUGGGCGAAAGCCUGAUCCAGCCAUGCCGCGUGUGUGAAGAAGGUCUUCGGAUUGUAAAGCACUUUAAGUUGGGAGGAAGUGCAUUAAGUUAAUACCUUGCUUUUUUGACGUUACCAACAGAAUAAGCACCGGCUAACUUCGUG
rnacentral:rRNA from 1 species